GUCUUCCUUGGGGAGUCUCUUGCCCCGCUGGUACUCCACAAUACCCAGUGCCUGGUACCAGAUGCCUUUACGGACUGCAUCUCGGUCAUCCAUGGCACCCUCGUCAUACUCCACUGCUGGUUCCAUGCUGGUGCUGUCAGGGUCGCUGUACUGGGACAUGCGUUGCCCUCAAAUUGUAAAAUCCAAAGAAAUGGUGUCUCCUGUAGCUGUCCUUCUGGUUGUAGGAACGAUCCCGCCGCUUGCCACCAAUUGUAACGGAC